CCAGGGCGCAGCGAGCCCGGACCGCGAUUUUCCCGCUCGGCCCCGCGCUGUCGGCCGCCCUCACCCUCGCACACGGGGCGGGGCUAAAACACUCGCCCGCCCGCAGCGCUGCAGCGCCCCAGGGGCACGGGGCCUCCCUUUCCCCGGGGAGCCCCGCUUCUGGGGACGGGUCGUUCGGUGCCCGGGCGGCGUGUGAGAGACCGGGGCGGGGGGGGGUAACAGGUGUCUAUAUAAGAAAAAGCCUCCAAAAGCGGGCCCGUCCCUUUGACAGCGGGACGUGGGGGCGCCCCACGAGUCCGGAGGGAAGGCGGAGCGGGCGCUGACCGGCGCUGCCAGCCUGGCGCCUGCAGGAGGCCCCCGGAGAGGCGCAGGGCUGGCCCCAGCCAAUGUCAACAGAAAAUCUCUCUGUCUGUGCCCGAGGGCGGUGACACGCAACACCCCCUUAAAUCUCUGAGUGCUUUGCCAAACUGUACUGGUCUCCCGCUUUGGCUGGGACAUGGGAGCUGAUCGCUGUCAUCCGUCCAGGGAAAUCAAACCCUUACAACAGCUCCUUCGCCGGGCACAUCUCCGUGUCCAGCGGAUGGGUCAUCGUGAUGAACGCCAGCAAAGCCAUUGCAGGGGAUUUGAAGAUUGUGCAUGAGAUGAACAAAAGCGAGUGUCUGGCUUCCAUCCAUCUGAAUGUAACGGAGCUGCUCCGUCCCAGCAGGCCGGCGACGCUGGCCCCAUGCAGGAGCUGGCAGAGCUGAUGCAGCCGGAGGACGCCAGCGGUGGAGACCGGUCAGCCGUGCUGAAUGGGAAACUUCUUGGCAGUGCUGAAAUGCUAAACGAUGGGGGACUAGAGAGUGGGGAGGGAUGAGCCCCAUCCCUCAACAUCCACUCACUGUGCAGCGGCAGUCAAAAAAGCGAACAGAAUGUUGGGAAUCAUCAAGAAAGGGACAGAAAAUAAGACAGAAAAUAUCAUCUUGCCUCUAUAUAAAUCCAUGGUCCGCCCACAUCUUGAAUACUGUGUGCAGAUGUGGUAGCCCCAUCUCAAAAAAGAUACAUUGUAACUGGUUAGUCUCUAAGGUGCCACAAGUACUCCUUUUCUUUUUGUAACUGGAAAAGGUACAGAAAGGGGCAAAAAAAUGAUCAGGGGUAUGGAACGGCUGCCGUAUGAAGAGAGAUUAAUAAUGUGAUGUUAUUGACAGGAACUGUGAUCAUAUAGAGCAGUGGUUCCCAAACUUUAACAACCUGUGAACCCCUUUCACUAAAAUGUCAAGUCUUGCGAACCCCCUCCUAAAAAUGAAUAUUUCCAGAGAUUUUCUCCUUUACCUGAUGUAACGAUGCUGAUUCUGGCGGGACCCAACUGAGAGUGCCAAUUCAGGGCAAAUUGCUUCAAGCAGGGCAGUUACAGCCCAAGGCUGGGGUUUUUCCACUUCUAAGGCAAACCAAACCAGCCAGACAGAGAGGACUUUGGUUUUACCCCACUGGCUAACCACAAGUCACACAAGCAAUUCCCUUAGACACUCCAGUUUCCCACUAUCACCACCAGUGCCACUCGUUAUGGGGGAUGAAUGGUUAUGAAAACCAAGACCCCAGUAAAAGAAAAAAGGUUCUCUCGAUCCCAAAGGACCAAGCCCCAGAGCCAGGUCAAUAUACAAAUCAGAUUUUACCCACAAAUGAUGCUGUUGCCAAUCCUUUAGAAUCUAAAAUCUAAAGGUUUAUUCAUAAAAAGAAAGAAAUAUAGAUGAGAGCUAGAGUUGGUUAAGUGGAAUCAAUGACAUCCAGUGAUGGCAAAGUUCUUGGUUCAGGCUUGUAGCAGUGAUGGAAUAAACUGCAGGUUCAAAUCAAGUCUCUGGACUACAUCCACAGCUGGGACAAAGGGAUUUCCUCCCAUAAGAGAGAGAAUAUAAAAGGCCCUAAAAACCCCUCCAUUUGGUCUUCAGCUGGCUCAAAAGAUAGCCUCUCCACCCCAAAGAGAUGCCUGGAAGAAACUGGACCAAAGGACAGUAACUAUGGGGGUGUGAGUGAUUGCUGGACCCAGACUAGGAAGGAGUCUAGUCUGUGAAAGAAGUUUAUUGGAACAUCUCUGAGGGUGAGAUUUAUCUGCAUUUAGUUUCCUACUGUAUUAGGCUUAGACUCACUUAUUUUAUUUUAUUUUGCUUGGUAACUUACUUCGUUUUGUCUGUUAUUACUUGGAACCACUUAAA